AGAAAUUUUUUAAAAUUAAAAUCCCAUAUAUAAACGCCAAACAAAGGGAGUGAAUUAACAAGUUCCAGUUUAUAAACUAAGCUAGCUAGUUUUUUGAGAGAGAGAUAUGGCUCCUAUCACCACCCUUUUCUUCUUCCUUAUUUCUUCUUUUCAUGCAUCUCCUCACUAGACCUCAGCUAUUACCAUUCCAUCUUUUAACUUAUCAGGAACCUCUUUCAAGGCUGGAUUUCUCUCUGCUGCUCACACCUUCCUAUGGUAUAAAUGUCUGAAGGGCUUCCUUCUUUCUUCUUCUUCUUCUUGUUUAUGUAGGAUUUCAUAUGGGUAUUGAGAAAUUUUGGGUAAAGUAGCUUGCAGGAUUUGUGUUUGAUCUUUGGGAUGUUGAAUAGCCUGCAGGAACAAUAUCAUGGAAGAUGGAAUUUUAUAUAUAUAUAUCUAAAUCCUUAAUUAUUCCUA
rnacentral:lncRNA from 1 species